rnacentral:rRNA from 1 species
AUUGAACGCUGGCGGCAGGCCUAACACAUGCAAGUCGAGCGGAUGACGGGAGCUUGCUCCUUGAUUCAGCGGCGGACGGGUGAGUAAUGCCUAGGAAUCUGCCUGGUAGUGGGGGACAACGUUUCGAAAGGAACGCUAAUACCGCAUACGUCCUACGGGAGAAAGCAGGGGACCUUCGGGCCUUGCGCUAUCAGAUGAGCCUAGGUCGGAUUAGCUUGUUGGUGAGGUAAUGGCUCACCAAGGCGACGAUCCGUAACUGGUCUGAGGGGAUGAUCAGUCACACUGGAACUGAGACACGGUCCAGACUCCUACGGGAGGCAGCAGUGGGGAAUAUUGGACAAUGGGCGAAAGCCUGAUCCAGCCAUGCCGCGUGUGUGAAGAAGGUCUUCGGAUUGUAAAGCACUUUAAGUUGGGAGGAAGGGUUGUAGAUUAAUACUCUGCAAUUUUGACGUUACCGACAGAAUAAGCACCGGCUAACUCUGUGCCAGCAGCCGCCGUAAAAC